AGUGUUUACUUCGCCUCCACUUCUGUUCCUCCCCGCCCUGGUGCUGCUCCAGGUCACAUACUCUUCCUGAGCCGGCUUCAGCCUCUCCGCGCAGAAGUCUCCCGGAGCCAUGGCCUAGUAUUCUUAUGUGAAGUCUACCAAGCUUGUGCUCAAGGGAACCGAGGUGAAGAGCUGGGUCCUGCAGCUCCGGCGGGAGCCUCCUCAGUUCUUUUCGGACGCACUCCACCCCCGCGAAUCCGGUGGAAGCCGUGAUGCGGAGAGCCGGCUUCGUGGCCUCCCAGGCUUCGCUCUGACCCUGUCUGGGCUGGAUGGAGGCCGGACCGCCCUUCCUGGCGCCUGUGCAGAGAGGGGCAGCCUCCUGCGCGGACGACCCUGGAAACAGGAUAGACGGGCGGGUGACCCGUGACCCCGUACCCACGAGUUUGGGUCCCUUGAGGCAUCUCUCCAGGCCUCUGCCUGUAAGAAGAAAAAGAGCAAAGAUAAGAAGAGAAAAAGAGAAGAUGAAGAAACCCAGCUUGAUAUGUUGGAAUCUGGUGAACAGUAACAAACUUUGGUGAAAUUUCAGGAACCAUAGCCAUUGAAGUGGAUGAGGGAACCUAUAUACAUGCACUCAACAAUGGUCUUUUUACCCUGGGAGCUCCACACAAAGAAGAAUCGCCCUGAAACCUGGCUAUGGAAAAUAUCUUAGUAUAAAUUCAGAUGAACUUGUUGUUGGCGUUCAGAUGCAAUUGGACCAAGAGAACAAUGGGAACCAGUCUUUCAAAAUGGUGCCUGUGCAGCAGUAUUCACUGUGAUAGGAAGUGAGAAGCAGUCUGAGUGUUCAUUGCUGAGGGAAUCAAGGGCAAAAUAUCAUGGAUGCACUCAUGGACAAAUAAGCAGCAGUUUGAAGCAACACCCUAGAUGGAUGUACAGCCAUCAAGAGGAUCUUAAAGUGUGGUCUUUAGUGGAAAAAAAGCAGAAGCAAUGUAUGGGAGACUGAGUAAUUACAUAUGAGCUCACAUCACUAUCUCUUCCACCACUGUCAUCCAUCAUGACUGAUCUGGGAGAUGAAACAGCACAGAUCUAAAGGACGUGGUAAGAAUCGAGAUCACCAGAGAUCAGUAGAUACUUGCAUACUUGGAGGAUUAACACUGUCUGGAUUCCAACGAUCAGCUGAGUAUGUUCAAGAUAAAGCUAUAGUACAUAUUUUAGAUUGGGAAUUGGCAACAAAUAGCUGUAGACUACCUUCUGAGGAAUAAGUGUUUUCACAUGUGUGGGUGUCAUUUCUAAUCCCAGCAUCACAGUCAGGUCCAGAUACCUGUUUCUGAUCUUUGGUCCUAUGCCUAAUCUCCUCCAAGAGUCCUUCCCUGGAUCUCCUAUCUAAGCAAGAUGCUCGAUGCCCACCAAUGAGUACUGCACCAAGUUCAUUUCCACUAGCCUGUGUUACAAUUUGUGUUUCUGUAUGUUUCCCUUACUUGUUAUUCUUUGUCUUCCCCAUUAGACUGAAAGCACCGCCACGGGGACCGUGUCUAGGACAUAGGAGGUCCUUAAUAAAUAUUUCUUGAGUGGAUAAAUGGUGAACCAUAGGGGUGGCAUAAGAGCAAAUAGAGGGUAGAUGAGCACUAAUCCAUUCACCACCCUGUUUAUGGGUGGUGGACCUUGGAUGGCCUUUUUCAUAGUCAAAACAUACUUUUUAGAUCUGCCUUCUUGGGAUGUAUUCAAGGAUGCUAGCCGUGUUUGAGACUGUAAAUAUGUCUAGUGAAUAGGGCUUCAGGCUGUGUGUGUUUGCCUUGUUUUGCACAGAAUUCGGCACAGCCCCAAGCACAGAUGGGUGCUUCAUAAAUAUUGUUGAAGGAUGAUGACACAAAGGAUUAUUUAAUACCUCUGACCUCAGGCCACAAACAUACUUUCAAUGUGUUUUACUUCUGAAAUCAUUUGAACCAGAAUGUUUCAGCAACACAGAUUCAUCUGCAACCACAAAUCAGACACAUUUAGAAUGACAAAGCCCCAAAAGAAUGCCAUUUUCAAGGCUGAAACUGUAUUAUUCUGGGCUAAAUGGAAUCCUUGUUUUAGUGACACUGUAAGAGUAGAAAUUAAAGACACUGAAAAUCUUCCCUUGGGGAACCACAAUUAUCUGUGAACAAUGAAAGUUUGUCUGAAUAAUUCAUCAGCCUCAAGGGUACAGGCCUCCCCUUAUUCUGGAAUCCCAGGAGUUUAGGCAAGUGUGUCAUUUAAUGGGUCUCAACUGUGUCCUCAGUUGUUAUUAUUCCAGGGCCUGGCAUUUAUGGGCACAUUCCUAUAAUUUUACUAAUUAAAAAAAAAUAAGCUAUAUGGGAAACCACUGUCAAGGUCAAAAUUUUGAAGCUGCAUUGAUUUUACCUAGGAAGAAAGAAGCUUAUAAAGUGUCCAUCAUGAGAAUCCACCUGGGACCUACACAACAGAUCAAAUACCCAGAACAAAUCACCACGUCAGAGCCCCACAGAAUUCUGAUUCCCAACCAACAAGCAUGAGUAAUCCUUUUAAAUGGUCACUUACAUAUCAGAACAGGUCCUUUGUGAAAUUUCUAAGCAAGGCCUCUGGUUUCUGACUGAAACAGAGAUUUAUUGAGAAGGAGGGGUAAAGUGAAAUCAAGAACUGCUGGGAAAUUUCCACAAGAAACAAGGACAAAUGGUUUUUGUUGUCAGAGUAAAACCAGCCUCCCCUAGCCAUGGUUUGGAAAGUUAUUUGCUAGCCCACAGGGGACAAUAUUCUCAACUGGUUUAUCAGGGACCCUUUUGAUCCAAUUAUAGUUAUUGGGCAGAUACAGUAGUACCCUAUUAUCAGAAGACCUAGUUUCAAAUCCUGAGUCAACUUCUAAUUCACUGUGUGACCUUGUACAAGUCACUUAAGCUCUCUGAUCAUUGGUUCAACAUCUUUAAUAUGAGGAGAGUAAUGCCUAUCUCAAUUACCUCAUAAAAUUAUUGCAAAGAUCAAGUGAGUUGAUAUGUUACAAAUUAUUUCUAAAUUAUAAGAUUCUGUAUAAGUGGAAGGGUUAAAUAUACUCCCAUAUUAUUAAAUACCCUACGUAUCACUCAGGAUUCUAUAUGACUCUGAGUUCUCAAUUUCUAGAAAUGGUCCCAUUUUUACUUUGUUCCCUACAAUUCUACGGAGUCUUUUUUUUUUUUAAAGGAAGGGUGUAGGCAAAGGUAAAUGGGAGAAAACAUGGAAUCACAUACCACUCUUUGGUGCUGCUAGGCAAGAAUUUUAAACUGAGUUUAGGUCACCAUCGUGGACUUAAGGUCCAUAUCACCUCAGGGAGACAAGUAGAGUGGGAGGCAUCCAAAAGGUAGGUGAUUCUUCUCCCCUCUAGUGAAGAAUACAAGGUCAAUUUACAAAAAAGCACCAGCAGCAAAUAAUUGGAAAAUUAAAUUCAUAAAACAUUUAUAAUAGCGUCAAAAAAAAGAAAAUACUCAGAAAUAAAUUUGACAAAAAUUGUAUAAGAUCUCUACAUUAAAAAUUAUGAAAUACAUGUAAGAGAAAUUAAAGAAAACCUAAAUAGAGAGAUAUACCACAUUCAUGGAUUGGAAGAUUCAAGAUUAUUAAAAUACUAUUCUCCCCAAAUGGCUCUAUAGAUUCAACAUAAUCCCAAUCAAAAUCCCAGUAGGCUUUGGUAGAAAUUGAGAUGUUGGUUCUAAAAUGAAAUAAAAUGCAGAGGACCUAGAAUAUAUAAUUUCCCUUUAAUUUGACAAAGAAGAAAAACAUGUUGGGAAGCUCACCUAAUUUCAGUGUAAUAUUUACAUACGAAUCAACAAAUGGAUCAGUGGUAUAGAAUAGAGAAUCCUGAAAUAGAUCUACAUAUAUAUGGCCAACAGAUUUUUAAUAAUGGUGCCAAGGCUAUUCAGGGGAAAGAAAAUUCUUUUUUAAAAAUGGGAUUGGAAAAACUGGAUAAGGGAAAUAAGUGAACCUCGACCCCUACCUUAUACCGUGCUCAAAAAUUAAUUCAAAAUCAUUCUAGACAUAAAUGUAAAAGUUGAAACUGCAAUGACUCUAGAAGAAAAUAUAGAGAAAAUAUCUCUCUGACCUUGGAGGAAGCAAAAAUUUCUUGUAGUUGACAAAGACAUAUAUAAUAAUCAUAUAAUCCAUUAAUUAUAAGAAAAAUAAACUAGACUUCAUCAAAAUUUAAAACUUCUGCUCAUCAAAAGAUACUAAUAAGAUUAAAAGUAGCCAGGUUCAGUGGCUCAUGCCCAUAAUCCCAGCACUUUGGGAGGCUGAAGCAGGGGGAUCACUUGAGGCCAGGAGUUUGAGACCAGCCUAGGCAACAUAGCAAGAUCUCAUUUCUACAAAAAAUGUUUUUAAAAUUAACUGGGUAUGAUGGCGCAUGUGUAGUCCUAGCUACUCAGGAGGCUGAGUUGGGAGGAUUGCUUGAGCCCAGCAGUUGAAGGUUACAGUGAACUAUGAUCGUACCACUGCACUCCAGCCUGGGCAACAGAGUGAGACCCUUUCUCUAAAAUAAACAAAUAAAUAAUUUUUAUGUCAUCUGAAACUAAGAUCAUACUGAAAUUUUCCCUCAGUGUCUCCAGAAUGUCUUUUUUGAAUGGUUUGCCCAAUGUAGUAUCUCAUUUAGAACCACGUGUUAUGGCCCUUCAGUAUUUUUUUGUUGUUGUUGUUGUUGAGACAGAGUUUCACUCUUGUUCUCUUGUUGCCCAGGCUGGAGUGCAAUGGCAUGGUAUCGGCUCACUGCAACCUCUGUCUCCUGGGUUCAAGCGAUUUUCCUGCCUCAGCCUCCCAAGUAGCUGGGAUUACAGGCAUGCGUCAUCAUACCUAGCUAAUUUGUCCCAUAGAAUCUCAUCUUCUGGAUUUUGUGGCUAUUUUUUCAUGGUGUUGAUUCAUUCAUAAGGUAAAAUUUAUAUACAGUGAAAUGCAUUUUAUGGGUACAAUUCAAUGAGUUUUGAAAAGUGUGCACAUCCAUGUAACCACCACCCAGAUUAAGACACAGAACAUUCCCGUCACCUCAGAAUGUUUCCCGGUGCCUUCUUCCUACCCCUCAUACAGUAACAUUGUAAUAAUUUCUAUUGCCACAUAUAUGUUUACCUGUUCUGAAACUUCACAGAAAUGGAAUUAUAUAUUAUGUAUUUGUUUGUUACUGGCUUUUUAUCAUUUAAUUUUUUUUUAUUCAUCCACACCCACUGCAUGUGUCAGUAUUUCAUUCCUUCUUGUUAUUGUGUAGUAUACGAAUAUAUAAAUAUAUCACUAUUUUUGCAAUCUCCUGUUGAUGGACAUUUGUAUUGUUUCCAGUUAUUAGCUAUUAUGAAUCAUGCAACUAUGUAUAUUAUUAUACAGGUCUUUUGUGGACACAUCUCCAUUAUUUUUGGGUAAAUAUUUAGGAAUGGAAUGUUGGUCAGCUGUAGGCUCCAUUUUACAAGAAACUGCCAAACUGUCUUCCAUUCUACACUUUUGUUUGCAAUGUAUGAAAGUUCUGGUUGCUUCCUAUCCUAAUCAACAUUUGGUGUGGGACUACAGGAACAUGCCACUACACCUGAUUGAUUAAAGAAAAUUUUUUGUAGAGACAGGGUUUUGCUCUAUUGCCCAGGCUGGUCUUGAAUUCCUGGCCUCAAGUGAUCCUCCCACCUCAGCCACUCAAAGCUCUAGGAUUACAGGUGUGAGUCGCCACGACCGGCCAAAAUUUAUUAAUUGGUAGUUGGCAAUUGUUGAUGGAAAAGAAAAAGCAGGUUACAAGCAAUGUACUUUUUGAUGUCUUUGGUAUUAUCACAGGCAAAUAAAUUAUAUAUGUAUAUAUAUUAUGUAUAUUAUAUUAUGUAUUUUAAUUAUAUGUGUAUAACGUAUAUGUAUAGAAAGAGAUACAGUAAGGAAUAUAAGUUUUUCUAUUAACAUAGGUAACCCAAGGUAGGGGAUAAGAUGUUUACAUUCUCUUAUUUGUGUUUUCUAACUUUCCACCAGGCACAUACACUGUUUCUAUAAUAACACGUGCUGGUUGAAAAUGUCAGACUCUGAAAUUCAAUGUUUUAUAAUAUAGGGUGAUAGACAAGAGGGAUGGAUAGAGCAAGAAGAAUGAAACCUAAUAGGGUUAGUUAGAGCCCUACUGAGUGAAUCUCUUGUUGGGUAUUUUCCAUGCACUGUCUCGUUUCAUUCUUACAAUAAACCUAUGAAGUAUCAUUUUUCUAUUUGUACAGCGCUAAUAAGGCUAUAAGUUAGCAUUUGAACAUAAUAUAAUCUGACCUCAAAACCCAUGCUUUUUUUCCCUCACUUAUACAUACAUACUUUCAGGUUAAUAAGUUCUGUUGCUAAACAUUUAUGUAGUAUUUACUAUGUACCAGGCACCAUGUUAAAUGUUCUACAUGAAGCACCUCAUUUGUACUUCAUGACAAUCCAUAUAAAGAUACCACUAUUAUUAUCCACAUUUUACAGAUAAGAAAACUGAGGCACAGAGACUAAAUAAAUCUAAAUUCCCACAGCUAGUAAGUGGCAGAGCCAAGAAUUAAGCUCAGGCCACCUGAUUCUCCAGCUUCUACCCAAUACACUAUACCGUGUUCCCAUGUUUUCAACACAUUCCCAAAUGGAGCAGGGGAGAAUAAGCGCCAGCAACCAACAAAGGAGACAUCGACGCCAAAGGUCUACCAUAAAGUUUUUCACGGUGACAUCCUUGCUUACCUGUCCAGGGCCAUGCUGGUUGGCAUACUCCUCCCAAACCCGCGGACCCCCAUCUGAUGGAAAUAUGGAAUGCAAGAGAGGUUGGCAGCAAUGAUGGCCAGGGAGUCAGAAGGGCUCACAAAGAAGCCAUUUUGGCCUAGGAUCAUAUAACGGUCCUGUAGGAAGGAAUGCGUAAAAAUGAUCGGACAGAAGCAUCUGCUAGCAGCCCAUUCCCAUAAUCAUCACAAUCCACUUUACUGCCAUCUUAUAUUUAACAAUCUAACAACUUGAAUGAGGCCAAAGAGAACAUGGGAAACAUUCUUCAAAAUCUCUGAGUACCAAGGGCCCAGAUUCUUGACACACCAGGAAUAUGUUCCACCUGUUGAAAUGUGGCUCAAGCUUUAGAAGCCCCCAAAUACCUAAUUCUUUCUUUCUCCCAAACAUAAUGGAGAACACUGCUUCUUGCAGAAAUAGCUGAUUUCUUAACUUGGUGCUUUCAACAACACCAGCCAUAAAUAAAGAUUUAUUGAAUAAUAUAUAUUUUUAAAUAAACAACCUUUGUAU
rnacentral:lncRNA from 1 species